GUAAACAAUUUUUGACUUAAGGUUUAACAGUAAUCUUAGCAUGAAGAUAAUCUUGAAACUUAUGAAAACCGAACCCAGUCUAUGGUUGACACUACAGAGAAACUUGGUAUCAAGUUAACAACUCUUUUAGAAUACAGAAACUCUGUUAGCCUCUGCGAUUGUAUCGCCUGUCGUGUUUGUGCCUGACAGUGCAAGCAUGUCCAACUCUCGUACAUUGACCAGAUCACCAAGUGUUCCUGUAGUGCCAAUCAUUUCGAAAGAUCGCCCAUCGAAUCUCUCCAAAAGGUCAUUUCCCGGAGCCAGUUACGGUCAGCGUGAGAGAAGGGUCUUGUUCAAUCGGGAAAUCAGCAUAACAGCUGAUCCAGCAGAUCCCGACAAUAUUGACAUUGAAGAGGCACCGCCCGAAUCAUUCGAUAUUCCGGAGCCCGCAGCCAGUACAGAUAGUCGCCGUCGGUCAAAAUCAUUUGUUUUUGAACUGGUACCGGUAGAUACAAAGGCACUGAAUAUUUUGUUAUGGGUUAUGCUUGCCACGCAUUUCACCGUGGCCAUAUUCGGAUCCGUUGUUUGGCGAGCCAUCGGGCCUACUUAUAUUGGAGCAGCCUUGGUUGUGUGGGAGUGGCUGAUGACAUUGACCGUAGUCGUCAUAAGCUAUGUGUUGUCACCAGUUCUCCAUAACCAGUCAUUUUGUCCAAUGGCUAACCUAACCUUGAAGCGCAAUUUAAUUCGACUACUAAUCAUCAAAAUCAUUUCCCUGUUACUGGCAGUGGGCGGUAUUGCCGACGGUGUCUUUGCCAUUUUCAGAGCUCAACUGGGAACAGCACCAAAGCCAUCAGAGACUUAUCAGACUUUUGAGAAAAACCGGGAAAUUCUCUUGGGCGCUUUCAAUACAGCGGUUGCAGUAAUUUCUUUUGGCGCGCAUGUAGUUUUAAGCAGGCAAACGGCACUUCAGUUUUAUAUUCAAGAGCAAAAGAAUACUGACAGAUCGUUUACAAGCUUGUGAGUGCUGUACACGUAUUUGGUUAUUCGAUCAGAACGGUGGUAUUUUUUGUUUUCCAAAUUGUACAUGUUUACGUGAGCUUUUUUAUGCACUUAUACGAUCUGGCUGACGAAUAAAAUCAAGUGCCAGAA